CAGUAGCCGCGGGAAUACGAAGGGGGCUAGCGUUGUUCGGAAUUACUGGGCGUAAAGCGCACGUAGGCGGAUAUUUAAGUCAGGGGUGAAAUCCCAGAGCUCAACUCUGGAACUGCCUUUGAUACUGGGUAUCUUGAGUAUGGAAGAGGUGAGUGGAAUUCCGAGUGUAGAGGUGAAAUUCGUAGAUAUUCGCAAGAACACCAGUGGCGAAGGCGACUCUCUGGUCUGUAACUGACGCUGAGGAGCGAAAGCGUGGGGAGCGAACAGGAUUAGAUACCCGCGUAGUCCCUGUCUCUUAUAC
rnacentral:rRNA from 1 species